UUCUUUUUUCCUCUCAGAAUUACAUUGAGUUCUGGAUUAAAAGACCUACAGGAUUUUAGUUGUUUGUAUAAAUUCAGAGUGACCUUGAAUAUAUGUUCUUCUUUCUUAUGGCCAUUAAAACUAGUUUAUUGGAUUUCCAUGUCUGAAUUUCUCAGAAACUCCCAAAUGGUCAUAUGACUUUUUGAUGAUUGAUUACCUGAAUUUCCUUUGUUGUGUCAGUUAACUUUGAUCAUUUGACAGUGUUGCUGCUACCAUUGUUUUGGUAGUGGUGGUAUACCUGAUAUAGAGAAACUAAUCACCAGUAAUUAACCUUCUCUCACCUCAUCUAAGAAGGACCAGCCCUUCUUUCACUUGUUUUCCUGUAGCACUUAGACUAUACCACUGAUAUUUAGGAAUUUGUCCCAUGUUUCAAGGGCACAAGUCCUGUCUUACUCAUUUGUACCUUCAUUACCUACUAUAGAGCCUGGUUCAUAGUAAGUGCUUAAUAAAUAUUUGUUGAAUAAUGGAAUAAAUAAGCGAAUGAGUAAAAGUGGAAGCUUAUUCACUGAAUAUCUUCAGUGAACAUAUUCACUGAAUAUGUCUCAGUUUUAAAAUCGUUAUUUCUUGUCCCUGCUUGAUUUACAUUUAAGUAUUUUUGAGGUGAAGAAAUAACUUUUUAAGAUUAGGGUUAUGCUUUUCAUCUAAUUUAUUAAGAUUCUGUACCUAAUGUUGCACUUUAGCGAUUCCUCA